rnacentral:lncRNA from 1 species
CGAUGUGAAGGUGCAUGGAUCGAGAUAACGGUGAAAGCGAAAGGAUCUACGCUGUUCAUCAAUAAUCAUCAAAGGCCAGAAAGACUGGAUCGAUCGGCUGACUGGCCAAAGCAACCUUGCUAGGCACUGAUCACGAUCACAAGAUUUCAGACUUCAGGGCUGAUGUACCCAAGCUUUACAUACUCGGUUUUCCAGAUCAUGCAUGUUGCAAGUGCCUAAGAAUGUUCUCAAGUCACUAGGUAAGGUCAUGGAGUCAUGAGAUUAUCAUAAUACUGGCUAUUCUAUAGCAAGUUUACUCUUACUAUGAAACGAUAGAAUCCCAUAGCAAACACGUGAAAUAGAAACAAAAAUUCACGGAUCAAAAGGUGCGUGAUGGUAGGCUGAGAAGAUGGUAUGUAAUUGAUUGUAGGGAGAUGCUGAUGCUUACCGUGCUGGCCAUAGGUAUUUGGCACGAACCCGCCGUACGCGUAUCCAUUGUUUGCUCCUCCCACGCCGCCGACGCCAUUGCUACUGCCGGUGCCGGCGCCACCUCCGACUGCUGGUACACCGCCGUUGCCGCUGCCGCCGCCGGCAUUGGACCAGAAGCGCGCGUAGCACUUGCCUAGGUACACCUCCCCGGCGGAGGCGUACCCGCAUCCGGCCUUGAGCUGCGAGGACGCGGCCGAGACGCAGUCGGUGCACGCCUUGGCGCCGAGGUCCCCGACGCACUGCGACAUGGCCUGCACGUACCCCGCCGCGCCGGCGCGGUAGGAGCCGUCGCCGGCGGGGGGCGCCGCGGCGGCCACGAGCGCGCCGAGCGCGGCGUCCCUCAUGGCCACGACGCCCGUGUCCCCGGCGCUCUCGCCGCCGCACUUCUUGAACAGCACCGUCGUGUCCUGCUUCCCCAGGAACGAGUCGUUCCCGUACCGCACGAAGCAGGCGCGCAGCUGCACCGCGGCGCCCGCCGCCGAGUUGCAGAGCGAGGAGACCUUGGAGACGGCGGACUUGACGCAGCCGCCGCAGACGGCGGCGGGGAGGUCGGAGCGGCACUGGUACACGCCGGCCAGGCCCGUGGCGGCCGACGGUGAGGUGUAGUUGGCGUAGGCGGUGUAGCCGGCGCUGUUGACGAGGGAGGACAGGGUGGUGUCCACGUCCGCCGCGUACUGCGACCCGGGGUCGUAGCGCGCCUGCGAGCACCCGGCGUACACGAACGCCGUGUAGUCGUCGCCGCCGCGCGCGGGCGUCGUGCACGCGGACAGCACGAGAAGCAAGAGCACGGGGAGCGGUGCUGGCGCAAGAAGCUUCGACAUGCUUGCUUGCUUGUUCUUGGCCUUGUGCUUGGUAACUUCUGCAGAGCUUCGGAAGACGAGGCUCAGAGGGACGAGAGGAAGAGGCAGCAAAUGACGACCUGUGAGCGUGGAGGGAUGGGCUGAAGGGUUUAUAAAUGGAGCUCAGUGUCAAUGGUGUCAUUUUUUUCAUCCACCGCUAAAGGGAAAGACUGGUUGGACCUUUGUUUUUGAUUAAUCGUUGUCCUAGUUUGUAGCGGGCCAAAAGAAGCGUUUCGGCUGCCGUCGAAUGUGGGCCGAAUUACGCAAGCCCAGACCAGUUUGGCCCAACAAGUUGCGGCCCAUAGUUAGCAGCCUUGUGUGUUUGAUAUCUACCGUUUCCAAGUUCGGCCGAAAAAAAGGAAUUGUGCUUUAAUUUGGUUUUUCUUAAAUUCACAGAAAAAGGUCCUUGUUUGCGAUGAGCAUCUCCUCUAUCUCCCACCACGCCAAGGCAUCCGGCUUGAUGUGAGAGUGCUUUUUGAAUGUCUUGUCGAAAUUUUCAGGGACAAACCUAAUUGAAAUGUUGGAACACGUACGCACAAGAGUAGCGAAUUUUUUUUUCUUACAUACGGUAGGUAGAAGUAUAGCAAAAUAAGACUGUAAUACUCUCCGUGACAGAAAGUGCUUUCACCGCUAACGAAUUGGAUGCUCCGGUUCCAGUUCCGAAGGGAAACAAAAAGGUAAUAAUUUGAUUAUAUAUAUUUUUUAAAUUGACAUCAUUAUUGGCGGCUAGAAGUUGAGGGAACGAGGCUCGUACGUGUGGCGGAUCCAGGUUGUGAAAGGAGGGAGGGCUCAUCUUCCUCAUCCUCCCUUAUCUCUUUCCCUUCUUCUUCUUCCUCCUUUUUCUUCUUUCUUCUCUUCAUCUAUAGCAAAAAUUUGCAGGGGAGCUCCUCCAGCUCCCACGUUAGAUUCGGCCCUGCGCGUAUGUAUACUGAUAACAUAUACGGAUCAGAGGUGAAAAAAAGGUGGCGUGUGGCACGUUGGCCGCCGAAGUGCUGUAACCAAAAGGAAGGGAAAAAAAGAAGGUUCUCGGUGGACUUGCGUACGUGCUGAUGGUAACUUGUUUUAUUUCAAGUAGAGCGAGUGCAACAAUGUUUCGCCCAAGGCGAUACCGAACUGGAAAACCAAAAUGGUUACAACCAGCGAUAUAUUCAUCACAUCGCUAGUUACUAGACCGCAGGCGGCGGCGGUUCACCGCGAUGCUAUAAGGAAUCGGUACCCAUAAUCUAAAAAGAAGGGGAUAAAUUAGAUAAACCUAAAACCUUAACCUAUGACUUCUACUAAUUUUGCAUAAAAUAUAAACUAGAGCAUAAAAAGGGAGGGGGUAAAUUAGACAAACCUAAAACCUUAACCUAUUACUUCCACUAAUUUUGCAUAAAACAUAAAUUAGAUCAUGCUAUCAAGAUGUGCAAUUAAGAUUGAUUUAGUGUGAAAUUCACAUCCCAAAACAAGUUUUGCAACCUAGAGCCAAUCCUAACAAGGUACUACACUAAAAAAGUAAAGGCACACAAGUUGCAAGUAUGAAAUGUGGAAACGAGAGAUUAGGAUGAGGGGAAGCAAACUCUUGAUACGAUAAUUUAUCUCGUGGUAUCGGUAAGCACUAAACCACCACUAGUCUACGUUGUUUAAGCACUCACACAAGACUAUUGCUUCCCGGUCACCAAGUCUCUUCCAAGGCACCCCUUGACUUGCCACAAAGGAUCGACCACUAAGGCUCACACCAAGUUUCCCGGUCACCUUGAUAUCGUCUCCAUUAACGAGCUUCUCCACGAAGGAAAGGGAUCUCCACGUCCUCCGCACACGGUCAUCGACGCCGCUCCACACCAAGCCGGAGGGUCGAAGACUUGCCGGCGAGCCACCAAGACUCCAAGGUGCCAGCACACCUUGUACAACUGUGAUUCACUCCUUGAACCGAUCAUAAGGUAGCCACACCUUGCACUAAUCACACUUCUAAGCUUGUGGUAAACCUUUGAUAAAUCACUUAGAUACUUUUGGUGGCUUGAAUGUGUUCUUGAUGAGUCUUGAUCUCCAAUGAAUUCCUGCACACUCCAUCAACUUCAAAUGGGUGAGUGGAGGGAGUAUAAAUAGCCAAGGCAUCACAGAGUCGUUGCUCCAACGACUAGUUAAAGUAUACCAUCGGAUGUUCCGAUGGUCUGUUUUGGCAUGCAUCAGAACAUCUAGUGCAACUAAGCCGUUGGCCUCCCCUUGCCCAAGUUUUUCACUGGCUCAUCCAAAAUUCAUCCGACGCUUCAUCCGAUGGUGCUCAUCCUGCUCAAGAGCUUCUGGCCAAAAUCUCCUUGGAACUUCACAAAAUAAAUAGGCUUCGUCUGACGGCUCCCCUUGGCUCACCAUCGGAUCAUCCGGUGCUAUAGGGUUUUAUUUCCUUUUAUUUCCUUCACCCCAUAAUUCGUCCGACGCUACUAGAAAACUUACCAUUGGAGCAUCCGGUGGUCUUGACUCUUUUUCCUAUCUUUCCAUUUUACCAAUUAAUCCGAUGGAUGCUCUGGCGCUUCUCAGAUAGGCCAUCGGAACAUCCGAUAGUGCCAUUUUUCUUUUAAGCGCCACAACUUGCACACCAAAAAUACUGUCACUGGAUUUUCUUUGUCAUUUGGAUGCUUGAAUACCAUAUAGAAUAAUCUUAGAUACCAUGACUUGAUCACAAAAAUACCAUAGCUUGGAUGCUUGAAUACCAUGACUUGAUUAUUAAGAAUACCAUGACUUGGAUGCUUGAAUAUCAUGAUUUGGACCUUGCCAUGAUUUGAUUUAUAUACUUGGGACCUAUAAAACCUACAAGGCAAAUUCUCGACAAGGCAUUAAUUCCAAUAACUAUGUUGUCACUUGAUCACCAAAAUCACAAACUAUGAUCUAAUGGGGUUAUCUUCACCAAAUAAAAUUGGUCAAACAAUUUCACUUAUCAAUCUCGAGAAAUCAAGUGUGAAAAGCGAAAACAACUAGAGAUAAGAUACUAUACAUUGCUGGCGCAGGAGAAAUGCCUUACCAUGUCCAAGGUUUAAGAAGGUCCCUAUUUACAAUGAGCAUCUUCUCUACCUCCAACCACGACAAGGUGUCCUCCUCACUGCGAGAGAACAUCUGAAAUAUCUUCUCGAACUUCUUGGGGACGAAACUGAAAAUGUUGGAGCACGAAAGUCGUAAAUCGAUCCAUUGUUUCUACAGUGUACACAAAUGCUGAGUGUAUAAGGUUAGACGACGCAGAACACACAGAUUUCAUUCUGAGAACAUCAAUAAUCAUUUGCAGUGAAGCAAUCAAGAA